rnacentral:rRNA from 1 species
UCGCUGGUCCCGUUCUUAACAGAGUCGGG